ensembl:lncRNA
GGGAAAUGUAAUCUGUUCAUGCUGGAGUUUGUUUCCGAAGAGAGUUACGGAUCUGCUCUAAUUCACCUCUGCAUAAUAUCAUGAUCUGUUGAUUAACACUCCCUUGAGCCUGAACUAACUCCACAAACAGGGAACGAAGCUUAUGUUGCAGCUUGGCACAAGGUCAUUCCACCCCUGGUUACUGAAAAUGUAAGAGGGCCCCCUUGCGCAACACUGAGGUCUCAUUUGCCGGCUGCAUUAUCUCCGUGUUAAAAUCCCUUGCCUAGUUAGCAUUUGCGAUGAUGGAUGGCAUUGCACUAACCGAGCCUACAUCCUUCUCACAGAACAUCCAAGAACCUCGAAGUCUGAUGAUAGAUUACUAUUGCUUUAUCUUGUACUGAUUAUUCUUGCCCAUGACAUGAAGAGAGGCUGAGAUUGACAGCAGCGUGUGACCGCCAGCCCCACCGCCACGGGAGAGCACGGACCCACACUGAACUAGCAGCACCUCACAGACAAGACGCCGAGCACCGAACACCCAAACCACCUCACCGCACCAACGGUUCUUUUAAUAAAACCCACCCUUCGGGGAACUUACCCUCAUCCUCGUGUCGUGUCCUACUUCACCCCGCCACAGAGGCAAAACAGAAAAUGUCCCUUUUUACAUAGCAUCUGACAGCUCUUUUCAAAAGUCAAUUUAGAAUCUAUGACUGUCCCGAGAUAUUUGCAGCUUUCUACACAAUCCACCACCUGGUCUUUAAUGAUCAUAGUGUCAUAACGUAAAGCACAAGUUCUAAAAUCUAUAAUCAUGUCAUUUGUUUGAGUUAUAUUUAACUACAAAUAAGAUUAAUCACACCAGGUGACAAACUCCUCAAUAAUAGGACCGUGUCCAUACUCAUUAUUGUGUAGCAAACUCACAAUAACUGUGUCAUCAGCAAAUUUCAAUAUAGUCAUAUUUGCAUGCUUACUUUGGCACAUAUUAGUAUACAAAAUAUAAAAUAAAGGUGAAAGAACACAACCCUGGGGUGAACCAGUGGACGGACAUAAUGGAUCUGAUAAAAUACCAUUUACUUUCACCCUCUGUGUUCUAUUUGUCAAGAAAUCCAGUAUCCAACCCACCAAACUGUUGCUCAGCUUAAAAUGCUCUAUCAAUCUCAUAGCUAAAAUGUGGGGUUGGAUAGUAUUAAAAGCUGAGAAAAAAAAACAGUUUAGCAUGAGUAUUUCUCCCUUCUAGAUGCUUAAACAAAUGUUUAAGUAAUGUAAUUGUAGCGUCCUCAACUCCUCUAUGUGCCCUAUAGGCAAACUGCAUAGGGUCAAGAGCUUGCUCAGUUUGCCUUACAAUCUCUGUCUUCACAAGCUUUUCAAAUGAUUUCAUUACAAGAGAAGUGAGGGCAAUUGGCCUGAGGUCAUUUAAAGCCUUGGGACUAUUAUUUUUUGGAGCCGGAAUAAUAACAGCCCGCUUCCACAAGUUAGGUAUAUUGUUGGGAUAAAGACAUAUUAAAAAUAUCAUAAAAGAUACAACUUAAUUGUUUUGCACAAUAUUUCAGUAAUUUGCCACAUAUAUUGUCUG